GGGGCUAUAGCUCAGUCGGUUAGAGCGCGCCCCUGAUAAGGGCGAGGUCGCUGGUUCGAUUCCAGCUAGCCCCA
rnacentral:tRNA from 1 species